rnacentral:rRNA from 1 species
CCUACGGGAGGCAGCAGUGGGGAAUAUUGCACAAUGGGGGGAACCCUGAUGCAGCAACGCCGCGUGGGUGAAGAAGUACUUCGGUAUGUAAAGCCCUGUCAGCAGGGAAGAAAAUGACGGUACCUGACCAAGAAGCCCCGGCUAACUACGUGACGGCAGCCGCGGUAAUACGUAGGGGGCAAGCGUUAUCCGGAUUUACUGGGUGUAAAGGGAGCGUAUACGGCAAGGCAAGGCUGGAGUGAAAGCCCGUGGCUCAACCAUGGGACUGCUUUGGAAACUGUGUUGCUGGAGUGCAGGAGGGGUAAGCGGAAUUCGUAGUGUAGCGGUGAAAUGCGUAGAUAUUAGGAGGAACACCGGUGGCGAAGGCGGCUUACUGGACUGUAACUGACGUUGAGGCUCGAAGGCGUGGGGAGCAAACAGGAUUAGAUACCCGGGUAGUC